AAUAUGCUAGAGUAAAAAAGCCAUUUGGCUAUAACGAUAAACACUAUAGAAAGUAAGCGUUGCGGACCCGGGGGCAGAGCCCGGCGCCUCCACCUUAAAAGAUGGGUAUUCUUUUUAUGUGGGGGCGAAUUAGGAUCGACGUGCGUUGAACUGUAUAGCUUUCGUUCACCAUGGUACCAGUGUUUCGGGCCAAAAACAUAAAUGCGAACUUUAACAACGCAUUUGGCAAAGUAUCCAUAAAGAACGUUGCAAACAGCGGUCUUUCGGGUCGUGUAGGGUAUGCUGUAGCAGCUUAGAGCGCUCCAGUAGACUAACACUAAGUCAGCGGUUUUGGGAGCGCCGGGCAACAAAAAGCUCCCAAGAUUGGGGGAGGAAAAAUGCAAUAUC
rnacentral:tmRNA from 1 species